rnacentral:rRNA from 1 species
UUGCUCCCGGAUGUUAGCGGCGGACGGGUGAGUAACACGUGGGUAACCUGCCUGUAAGACUGGGAUAACUCCGGGAAACCGGAGCUAAUACCGGAUAGUUCCUUGAACCGCAUGGUUCAAGGAUGAAAGACGGUUUCGGCUGUCACUUACAGAUGGACCCGCGGCGCAUUAGCUAGUUGGUGAGGUAACGGCUCACCAAGGCGACGAUGCGUAGCCGACCUGAGAGGGUGAUCGGCCACACUGGGACUGAGACACGGCCCAGACUCCUACGGGAGGCAGCAGUAGGGAAUCUUCCGCAAUGGACGAAAGUCUGACGGAGCAACGCCGCGUGAGUGAUGAAGGUUUUCGGAUCGUAAAGCUCUGUUGUUAGGGAAGAACAAGUGCAAGAGUAACUGCUUGCACCUUGACGGUACCUAACCAGAAAGCCACGGCUAACUACGUGCCAGCAGCCGCGGUAAUACGUAGGUGGCAAGCGUUGUCCGGAAUUAUUGGGCGUAAAGGGCUCGCAGGCGGUUUCUUAAGUCUGAUGUGAAAGCCCCCGGCUCAACCGGGGAGGGUCAUUGGAAACUGGGAAACUUGAGUGCAGAAGAGGAGAGUGGAAUUCCACGUGUAGCGGUGAAAUGCGUAGAGAUGUGGAGGAACAAGGCGACUCUCUGGUCUGUAACUGACGCUGAGGAGCGAAAGCGUGGGGAGCGAACAGGAUUAGAUACCCUGGUAGUCCACGCCGUAAACGAUGAGUGCUAAGUGUUAGGGGGUUUCCGCCCCUUAGUGCUGCAGCUAACGCAUUAAGCACUCCGCCUGGGGAGUACGGUCGCAAGACUGAAACUCAAAGGAAUUGACGGGGGCCCGCACAAGCGGUGGAGCAUGUGGUUUAAUUCGAAGCAACGCGAAGAACCUUACCAGGUCUUGACAUCCUCUGACAACCCUAGAGAUAGGGCUUUCCCUUCGGGGACAGAGUGACAGGUGGUGCAUGGUUGUCGUCAGCUCGUGUCGUGAGAUGUUGGGUUAAGUCCCGCAACGAGCGCAACCCUUGAUCUUAGUUGCCAGCAUUCAGUUGGGCACUCUAAGGUGACUGCCGGUGACAAACCGGAGGAAGGUGGGGAUGACGUCAAAUCAUCAUGCCCCUUAUGACCUGGGCUACACACGUGCUACAAUGGACAGAACAAAGGGCUGCGAGACCGCAAGGUUUAGCCAAUCCCACAAAUCUGUUCUCAGUUCGGAUCGCAGUCUGCAACUCGACUGCGUGAAGCUGGAAUCGCUAGUAAUCGCGGAUCAGCAUG